CCUACGGGUGGCAGCAGUGAGGAAUAUUGGUCAAUGGACGAGAGUCUGAACCAGCCAAGUAGCGUGAAGGAUGACUGCCCUAUGGGUUGUAAACUUCUUUUAUAUGGGAAUAAAAUGUUCCACGUGUGGGAUUUUGUAUGUACCAUAUGAAUAAGGAUCGGCUAACUCCGUUCCAGCAGCCGCGGUAAUACGGAGGAUCCGAGCGUUAUCCGGAUUUAUUGGGUUUAAAGGGAGCGUAGGUGGGUUGUUAAGUCAGUUGUGAAAUUUUGCGGCUCAACCGUAAAAUUGCAGUUGAAACUGGCAGUCUUGAGUACAGUAGAGGUGAGCGGAAUUCGUGGUGUAGCGGUGAAAUGCUUAGAUAUCACGAAGAACUCCGAUUGCGAAGGCAGCUCACUGGACUGCAACUGACACUGAGGCUCGAAAGUGUGGGUAUCAAACAGGAUUAGAUACCCUUGUAGUC
rnacentral:rRNA from 1 species